CUCAGACCAAUUGUAGCUCUGAGUCAGGCAAGAUUUCCUCUGUUUCUCUUCACAGCGAGUAGAGAGGAAGAUUUUGCCUGCAAUUAGAUCCAAGGAGCUGGAUUCCUGUUAAGAGUUUGCUCAUCAUCAGGAGAGAAAUCUGAGAAGUGCAAAGGUCCUUGACACCAAAAACAGGUGCUGAGCACACUCCAGGAUCAGGACACUCCUGCCCACCCUGUGUUUACUCAGCAGAUGGGAUCAGGCACUACUCAUGCAGGCAGUUCCUAAAUCAAUGGAACAGAGGAUUAACAGCAUAUGGAGCAUGCCCCAUCCUCAGGCCUGGCAU
rnacentral:lncRNA from 1 species